UUUUAAAAGUUAUACAAGAAAAACGAGUGAAGCAGCUGAAUUAAUAUAACUAAGCUAGCUAGCUAGCACGGCAAGCUAGCUAGCAAGCACGUCAAUGUCCCACAUCGCCCAUAAAGGAAUUGAGGUGCCUGCUUGCUUCACAUAUAUAUAGGAGUUAAAUGGUAGGAUUUUAGAUACACCAAAAUUUUAACGGGAACGCUCUAGUAUUGAAAAUCCCGCGUAUACGAUACCCCGUUGGGUGUUGUUAGUAGUCGUUUUUGGAGCACGAGUAGGAGCAGGAGUAGGGAAACUCUACAUCAACGUGACGUAGAUAGUCUUGAGGUAUACUCUCGUUUAAGUUUAUGUUUAUAAUAAUAUAUUAGUGGUAGUAGCGUUAGUAUUAUUUUUAGGUACUAAGGUUAUUGUCAGGGGCGGGUAUUG
rnacentral:lncRNA from 1 species